rnacentral:rRNA from 1 species
GACGAACGCUGGCGGCGUGCCUAACACAUGCAAGUCGAACGGGGUAAUUUCCUUCGGGAGAUUACUUAGUGGCGAACGGGUGAGUAACGCGUGAGAAACCUGCCUUUCAGUGGGGGACAACAGUUGGAAACGACUGCUAAUACCGCAUAAUGUACACGGACCGCAUGAUCUGUGUACCAAAGCUUUAUGUGCUGAAAGAUGGUCUCGCGUCUGAUUAGCUAGAUGGCGGGGUAACGGCCACCAUGGCGACGAUCAGUAGCCGGUCUGAGAGGAUGAACGGCCACAUUGGGACUGAGACACGGCCCAGACUCCUACGGGAGGCAGCAGUGGGGAAUAUUGCGCAAUGGGGGAAACCCUGACGCAGCAACGCCGCGUGAAGGAUGAAGGCC